GGUUUUAUGGUGCAGUGGUUAGCACAUGGAGCGUAUACCUCCAAGACUUAGGUUCAAUUCCUAAUAAGACCC